CUCCUCCACGAGAGGUAACAGGCGUAAACGUAAUAGUGACCCGGUUAUAAAUUGAUCGAUGGAACUCAAUCAAUACUACAAGAAUAGGAUUACUUACAAUCAGUGAUUACAUAAUAUAAAAGUCCCAGUCUUACGGGAAAGUUGUCAUGACUUCGAUACUUCAAUGGUAAGUCUCAAUUUGAAUAUGAGAAAUCUUAACUCAUCUAAACGUAGCCAAAAGUUUAUGCGUUCAGUAGAUAGUUGAUAAUAACGUUCUUAGUUAAAAUAAUGAAUGGUGUAAGGUAGAAAUUAGGAUGAAGUGUGAGUUAAAUUUAUAUUUCAUAUGAAUCUAAUAU
rnacentral:RNase_MRP_RNA from 1 species